rnacentral:lncRNA from 1 species
CUUGGCAGGAUGAGGCAGGAGAAUCGCUUGAACCUGGGAGGCAGAGGUUGCAGUGAGCUGAGAUCCUGUCACUGAUCUCCAGCCUGGGUGACAGAGCGAGGCUCUGUCUCAAAAAAAAGAAAAAGAAAAAAAGAAAAAAAAAAGAAAAGAAAAAAGAAAGAAAUAUUGUGCAUACGUAAAUAGCAUUUGUCUGUUAUUCUCACCCCUCCUCAACACACACACACUCACUUAUAUAUCUUUUGAACCUCCACAUUUAGAGACUAGAAAUCAUUGAUUUCUGAAUUUAAAACGAUGUAUUUAUAGACAUAACAUUUUAUCCCCUUUAAAUUAUCUCUCAAAAAUAACUUCAAUCAAAAUCUUUGAUUCAGUGGCCCCAUUAGGAAACAUUCUGUUUUUUUCUUUAGUGAAAAUGUAAGGAUAAAACCCACGGAGAAUACACGGAUUCCUAUCAACUUGUUUUUUCCUUCUUUGGUGCUUCAAUGUUCAACAAAUAAAGUAGUGUCGAAAUAUUUUAAUUUAAAAUAAAAUCAUGAAAGGUCUUCUAUUAGUUUGCAAAACAGAUUUGUUGCUUUCCAAGUAGUCUAUUUUGUCAUAUUAUUUUAAAAGAUACUGCAGUGUCCUUGAAACCACAUUACAAUUCUGUAGCCAGAAGCGUGUUUUCCUGCUGCGAUGCCUAUUUGCUAAGAUGCCUUAGAAACCAGAGGAGUGGGGUAAUGAAGAGCUGUCCUAAAAAGUGUUACUCUGCUAUGAAAAUCAUGGAUAGUAAAGCUCUCUGGAGACACUCUGCAAUUUAUUAUUUACCUUCUGCAAUGAAGAAUUUAUUUUCAUGUAGAUCAGCAUUUAUUUUUGUGGAAGGAGAAAUACAUAGAUGCAUGAAGAUAAUAUAAAUUUAACCAAGAAGAAAGUUUUAUAAUCAGGGUUAGCAGGAGUAGAAAACCAGCUGGGAUGUUGAAGCCAUCCAGUUUUGAAGCCUAGCUGCAGAAGCAAUAAGGAAUGUCUGCUACUCAAAAGCAACAAUUUGAUUGCCAUUUUAGUCCAAUCACAUUAAGAUUAGAGUCAAGAGUAUACUCUAUUCUCUUAUCUUUGCAUUUUCCCUGGGUCAAAUGGACAACACAGAUUCACGGCAAUAACCUCCUGGCCGAUUUUGGCCUAGAGACUUUCCAGUUCAUUACCUUCCUUAGUAUUUUCACCCUGGGAAA